rnacentral:other from 2 species
UUUAGACUGCUGCGUUGGUGACUGCCGAACAUAGUUUGAUGAUCUAUGCUUGUGGUAAAAGGGAAUAAGCGACUUUGUGUGGUAGUAGACCGAGCUUGUACUCGGAAACGGAAACGCGAAGGGCAAUUACCCACCUGGUUUUUCCAGGUCACAAACUGAGGUAAAACGGCGUAGCGGUUGCCCU